AUGUGCAAAUGAAUCAUCCUAAUAAUCGUGGUUCCAGAUCAGAUUCAAAGCCCUUGGACCAGAUUCAGGAGGAGGCAGAUAAUUCUGCCUCAAGACAACGUAUGUCUGGUGGUCCUUCUGACUCUACUGUGUAUGAUUCCAAAUAUCCCCCGCUCCUCAGACUGGCGCGCCACCAGAGAUAAAUGGAAAGAAGAGGCCAAGAGGUCCAGCCUCAAAAGAAUGUCCUCAGACCAACUCACACAACUGAGAGACAGAAAUGAAACGGGUUCCUUCAGUGGGUUGAACAAGGUGAUAGUUGAUGAUGAGGAUAGGGGCUCAUUCAAAGAUAGUGACAAAGGAUCAUAUAGGGACUCAACCAGUUCCUUAGCUUCUGGGAAAGGUUCACAUAGGGGUAGUGAUAGGGGUUCCUGCAAGGAAGGAGAUAGGAAUUCAUACAGGAACAGUGAUAGAAACUCUUUCAAGGAUGAGGAUAAGGGAUCAUAUAAAGAUGAUGAUUCCUACUUGGAAGGCAGGAGCUCCCAUCCAGCUGCUGAGAGACCUGACAGACCAAGGGCAUCCUCUGUUGAUGAAAAUCCUGCAAACGCUGUUCUCCAUUCUCAGUCACUGUCUGGUGAGUCUGGACCGAAGGUUGAGGAUCUUAAGAAACAGCAACAACAAGCUGUGCGGACAUUUAUGGAGAUGAAAACUGGGAAAAAGAAAGGUUCUUCCGGUAGUUUUGGUUCAGAGGACACACAGGGUGCUGACUCAAGUGGGUCGAACAUGUACGAGUACAUUCCAGGAACAUCACCCACUGAAUCUGUCACCGAUCUCAUCAACAAAGCUUCAGAGAAUCUGAAUGCUUCGAAGGCCCAUCGAGCUGACAGUAUUAAGCGGUCGUCGUCUCGCAGCAGUAGUGACUACAUCGACAUGGCGAGACAGCAGCGCAAGGAGACGGAGUGGAGCAGACUCCGUUCACGGGGAUCCUUCAACUACAGCCCUGACAUGAACCGCUCCAACCGCAGCUCCAUGUGUUCGGACCACCAGUACGAGGAUAUCAGUGUGUUCUCACCGUCAACACCACGGAACUCCUACCCAGGGAGUAUACGUGAAAAUGAAGAGUUUCCACCUAAGGAUGCUGUAAGGGAGAAGAGAGAUCCAGGGUUGACCCAAAGUGCUAGCAUGGACUCCGGACUCACUGUGUCACCAACAUAUCAGAAUCUGUUCUCCACCCGGCGACCACCUCCUCCCCCGCCGCCACGGUCACCGAGUCCAGUCGAGCAGCCACCUGCCUUGCCACCUAGAAACUACAGACGGCACUCCGAGGGCCGCGUGCUUAGUAAACGAUCAGCAACCGCGGAUCAAGACCUCUCGCAGAAAGAGGAUGAAAACAUCGACAGAUCAAAGAGGGAUUUUGGUGACUUGAAACGACAGUUUGAAAAUUCUCCAAGAGAAGAUGCUUACAUCGAGAAACUGCGAAUGGAAUCAAGACGAAGGAUGUCAGCUCAGCCAAUGUCUAUUCAGUACACAAAACCAACAAUCAACUACCCAACAACAAUAAAACGAGAUCCCUUGCUGGCUCAGGAAGCAACAUCACCAUUGAAGGAACAUUCAGCGGUGGACAUCAGAAACUUGGUUGAGGAGAGCAACAAGGAAAACUCAGCUCCAGCCCAGCAGGCCACAGUGCCAUCAUCCAAGAAUUCAAGGGAGAGAACUCUGUCAGACAUACCUCCACCAUCACCACCGAAAAUUACAGAAUCUGAGAUCACUUCUGAUAGUGAAGAGUUACCUCCCCCUCCUCCAGAUCUUCUGAGCAAAGAAGAGGAAGAAGAAAUGCAUGAUGGAUAUGCAGACGACUCCUAUAUGUCGGCUGCCGUCAGGCGCUCACGGCGCAACUCUGGAACUGGGAACUACAAGAGGUCGGCUUCUGCAGCAGCGCUGCGUCCAGAUGAAGAUGACGCCAGUAACGACACUGAUGCCAACAGCGUGUUCAGUGACAAGAAGCUGGGACAUCAGGCAUGGAACAGUGAGUCUGCUUUAUCAAGGCAUUCCAUUGGUGCUUCAAUUGGACACAAUGAGAUGCCAAACCUUCCUGGAAAUAUCCCAGCUUUCAAAGCUGAUGUGGAACAUGUGAAAAAUGUGUCCGUAGGAACAGUGCAACCUCUGCAACCCAAACCGCUUCUUUCUCCCUCAACGGAAACUGCCCCCUUAUUUUAUCCAUCCUCCUCAACAAGUGCACCCAAACCAGCUGCCCGACCUCCCCAAACCUUGUCCAUGACAGCUUCCUCAUCAAGUUCCCGCUCAGCCCAACUCCACUCUCCAUCAUCAGGUCAACCUCAACAGACUCUCUCAAUGACCUCUUCUUCUUCCGUAAGUUCUAGAUCUGCACAGCUCAACUCACCAUCAGGUCCACCUCAACAAACUCUCUCAAUGAGCUCUUCCUCCAGUUCUCGGUCUGUCCAACUCAACUCACCAUCAUCAGGUCCACCUCAACAAACUCUGUCAAUGAGCUCUUCCUCAAGUUCCCGGUCUGCCCAGCUCAACUCUCCUUCAUCAGCUUCAGUGAAGCCCCUGGUCCAACCACAGACAUCAGCUGGAAGUGCAAGACAUGCAUUGCAUCCUGCACCCAGUAAUUCUGUUGGAGGGACUUUCAUAACACCUGUGGUUAAAUCUGUGCAAUCACCUUCUUCAGGCCCAGCUCACCCCCAUGGUUCAGUGCAGUCACCUUCCGGUGUGUCUAGUUUAUUCUCUCCCCGUCCUUUCGUUUCGCAUCAUUCCCGGGAGGGAGAAGGAGGGGAAGGCAAAAGGUUUGGUACACCCAAUUCAGUGAGAGACAGAAUCUCUAAAAUAGAACAUGGAGGCAAUAAGAAUGUGGGGUCACCCAGGUUAGAACAAGGUGGUAGAGUGGGGUCUCCAAAACACACAGCAUCACCAAAACCUGCAGACAGUUCAUGGAAGACUAACCCAGAUCCUAUCCGGACAUCAUCACCCAAAACUGUCGGUGGUCACUUGAAAGCUGAGAGCUCCUGGGAGACAAUUGAGAACCUCAGUCAAAGCUCUGCUCAGAAAGCAGCUCACAGUCAGAACAGUCAAAACAACACACAGAAAUCUCAGCGUAUACUUGAAUCCUGGCGGGAUGACCCCUGCUCUCGCUACCCACGACACGAGUCUUUCAGUUCGUCUUCAUCCAACUCAACUGUCUCUAGCUCCGAAAGGAGAUCCAAUAAUCAUGACAAUCUUCCUCCCAAUGUGUCCGACAGGAGACCCAACAUUCAGGACAAUCCUGCUAACAGUGCUACCUCCCCAGUCCAUCCUAGAUACAGACAUGCGUCCCCAGCAGAACAAAGUGCUGUAGAUAAGCGGAGUCCUCACGCUCCCGGUCAGGUGAAUCAGAGUGCAUAUAACCAAAGAGAACCAAGACAUUUCCAGAGUAGUGCUCAGAGAACUCCUGAUGGUGCUCCUCAAGGACAGGACCAAUCCAGAAUGUUGUCAGGCGAAUCUCAGGCCUUGUCACCCAGGUAUCGGGAAAAACGAUCGAGAGAUUGCCAAACACGUGACCAAGACUCAAAUGGUGUGCAUCGGGACGGUGAAACAUAUAGUCCCCGAACAUAUCAUCAGCCACAUCCAGAUAUGCAUAAAGGUGUUAGUGAAUCUCCGCGAGGACAAGGUGCUUCUAGUGAUGUUAAUAACAUGAGAAGGAACACUGAGAGGUCAGACUCUCCUCGGACUCAGGAUAAUAAGAAAUCAGCACCCAGUUCUCAGGUGGAGAAGGAAAAUCCCCAACCUGUUGAUCCUGAUUCCAUGGCAGUUCCUGUUCAUCAUGGUCGUCAGCGUUCACAAGAAGAGAUUGAGUGUGAUGAGCAGGCCAAACAAUUAGCAAUGGAACUGGAAGGUUCAGACAAGAAAUUAUCGGAGGUUCUUACUCAGGAUCACAAGAGGAUGAAAUACAUGGAUGGCAUGUUCACUGAUCCUGUUGACAUCAACAGGAGGCCCUCUUGUGGCAAAACGCAGCUCAAGGAAGUCAACACACCUGAAGACACCAACAAACCUGCUGAUACUGACAAAAAAAGGUGCCCUACCUGCGUCUUACUUCAAGGGAUCUUCCAAGGCUCUGGUGGAGAUGGAGCUGCGACGACAGAAUGAAGAGGUGAACAAGGACAUCAUCAAAGACCUUCAGGACAAUGACAGCCUCAGGAAACAAAAGGAGGAGCUGAUGGAGAAGUUGUAUGCCAAGCUGAAGGUGCUGAAGGAGGAGAAACUGUCACUGCAGCAGGAGAUCGAGGAGAAUGAGGAUCUGGGCAAGAAG
rnacentral:misc_RNA from 1 species